GCCGGGCGCGGUGGCACAUGCCUAUAGUCCCAGCUACUCGGGAGGCUGAGGUGGGAGGAUCGCUUGAGCCCAGGAGUUCUGGGUUGGAGUGCGCUAUGCCGAUCAGGUGUCUGCACCAAGCUCAGCAUCAAUACGGUGACCUCCAGGGAGCGGGGGACCACCAGGUUGCCUAAGGAGGGGUGGACCGGCCCAGGUCGGAAACGAAGCAGGUCAAAACUCCCGUGCUGAUAAGUAGUGGGAAUGCACCUGUGAACAGCCACUGCACUCUAGCCUGGGCAACAUAGCAAAACCCCAUCUCUU
rnacentral:SRP_RNA from 1 species